UGCGGGGUUUGCACAGGGCACCAGGGUGUCCAGGCGGCGUCAGCUCCCCCAGGCCGCCCGGAGGGGGUGACGGGGAGGCAGGCAUCCAGCGGGCUCGCCGUGGGGGUAUCACUACUGCUCUUAAGAUUUUUUUCGGGGAUCCCUGGGGGGCGCAGCGGUUUGGCGCCUGCCUUUGGCCCAGGGCGCGAUCCUGGAGACCCGGGAUCGGAUCCCACGUCGGGCUCCCGGUGCGUGGAGCCUGCUUCUCCCUCUGCCUCUCUCUCUCUCUCUCUCUCUCUCUCUCUGUGACUAUCAUAAACAAAUAAAAAAAAUCUAAAAAAAAAAAGAUUUUUUUCAGCCAAAAGAAUAGUAAACGGUUUUCAGAGUCUGUUCACGUGAUCCCCACCACAACACGGGCUUCACGCAGGACCCCCACAUCUGACCCAGCCAACAGGGCGCCCUCCGGCCGAAAGAACAUCAAACCAACGUAUGGAAUGGGCUCUAUUUCAGAAUGAUGUGAAAACAAAAAUCAGAAAUAUUUCUACAUGGAAAGUAAAGUCCUGGGAACUCAGUACCCCAGCCUUCUACGUGGACUCUCAGAACACCGCGGCUGUGCCGGAGAAAGAUCUCCAACAUGAUCUUCACAUAUACCGUAAGGCCCUUCCAAUCCAGACACCAAAACACCAGAGAGACAGAAGAGGAACAGAGGAGGAGGAGAGAAUCCUCAAGCACAUUCCCUGCUGAGCACAAAGCCCAAGGUGGGGCUCCAUCCGAGGAUCCUGAGAUCAUGACCUGAGCCAAAACCAAGAGUCAGAGGCUUAAUCUACUGAGCCAUCCAGGCACCUCAACAAUUCCAUUUAAAUAUCAUCAAAAAAGAAUAAAAUACUGAGGAGUUAAUUUAACUUCCCUCCCUAAAAAAAGCACAAGACGUGAACACUGGAAAAUAUAAAAGUUAUAGAAAUAAAGACCUAAGCAAAUGGAAAGACAUCCUUCACCCACUGACGACUCAACAUUAAGAUGGCAGCACAGUACUCCCUAAAUUGGUGAAGAGUCAACACAGUCCCUGUCAAAAUCCCAGCUGCCUUUUUUGCAGAAAUUGACAAGCUAAUCCUAAAGUUCAUAUGCAAAUACAAGGGACCCAGAAUAGCCAAACCAAUCAUGAAAAGGAAUAAAGGUGGAGGGCUCAUACUUCCUAAUUUCAAGACCUACACAAAGCUGCAUCAAGAAAGCGUGGUACUGACAUUAGGCUAGACAUACAUGUCAGUGGGAUAGAACUGAGAAUCCAGAAAUAAAUCCUUACAUUCAAAAUCAACUGAUUUAGGGGAUCCCUGGGUGGCGCAGCGGUUUGGUGCCUGCCUUUGGCCCAGGGCGCGAUCCUGGAGACCCGGGAUCGAAUCCCAUGUCGGGCUCCCGGUGCAUGGAGCCUGCUUCUCCCUCUGCCUGUGUCUCUGCCUCUCUCUCUCUCUGUGACUAUCAUAAAUAAAUAAAAAUUAAA